rnacentral:rRNA from 1 species
GUGGGGAAUUUUGGACAAUGGGGGGAACCCUGAUCCAGCCAUGCCGCGUGUGUGAAGAAGGCCUUUUGGUUGUAAAGCACUUUAAGCGAGGAGGAGGCUACCGAGAUUAAUACUCUUGGAUAGUGGACGUUACUCGCAGAAUAAGCACCGGCUAACUCUGUGCCAGCAGCCGCGGUAAUACAGAGGGUGCAAGCGUUAAUCGGAUUUACUGGGCGUAAAGCGCGCGUAGGUGGCCAAUUAAGUCAAAUGUGAAAUCCCCGAGCUUAACUUGGGAAUUGCAUUCGAUACUGGUUGGCUAGAGUAUGGGAGAGGAUGGUAGAAUUCCAGGUGUAGCGGUGAAAUGCGUAGAGAUCUGGAGGAAUACCGAUGGCGAAGGCAGCCAUCUGGCCUAAUACUGACACUGAGGUGCGAAAGCAUGGGGAGCAAACAGGAUUAGAUAACCCUGUAGUCC